CCGAUAUCAACAGCUAAGGCAGUGGAAAUAUUGUUGAUGAUGCCGAUGUUUAAGUUUCGCAGGCCGCCCAUCUGGCUGUGGAUCUGCUCUAAAGAACCCAUAUCCACCAGAAGUACUACGUCCUGACAGGUGAUAAAUCGUUCAAUGUGUUUUUCCAGCAGCCCGGUGAUGUCGCUCAUCUGCAUGUCAAGAGGCAUAUCAAUGGCAUCAAAUACCUUUCGCCCGAUGAUCUGGUUUGCGGCAUCUGCAAUACUGGAAGCUGUUGCAUAGCCGUGGCUUAAGAUAAUACCGGCUGCGGAAAGUCCCUGGAUCUUCUGGUUCUGGUUUUUUAUAUCUAAAAGCAAAAACAGCUGGUUUAAACUGUCUGCUUCAAUGUCCAGAUUCAGUUUGAUCAGGUUUACGAUCCUAGAACAGAUGACUGAUUCUUUUUCAAGAACAGCGCUUACAGCCUGAAACAUUUCUUCAAUCUCGUCAUGGUUUUGUUUCAUCCAGUUGUCGAUCAGAUGGUCGCCCUGAAGCUGUAUAUAUAAGCGGCGGGCAAGUAAGUGGCUGUAUUUUUUGGAAAGGCUGAUGCCAUACAUUUCACCUACAUUUUCAAAAAUCUGAUUGAUCAGCUGUUCGUAAGUGGAGAUCUUGAUGUUUACAAGCUUCUGUCCGUAGAUCAGAUAGUCGUAAUAAUCAUUUAAUUGUUUCCGGAAUUCCAUGUCCAGGCUGAAGUGGAGGUAAAACUCCAUGGAGGGCCGAACACACGUCCGUUGAAAAGGCCGGUGAUGAGGUGUGGAUAGCGGAGAAAUUCCAAUCGAACUCGGAGAUAGCUGGUUCUCCUCGAAAUAGCUUUAGGGCUAGCCUCGAGAUGGAGUCUAACGGAGGUAAAGCACUGAACUGACGCGGGGCCCAAAAAGGUUACCAACUCAUAUCAAACUAAGAAUGCCGUCAAGAUACCCUCGGGAGUCAGUCUGCGUGAGAUAAGUCGCGUGGACAAAAGGGAAAGAGCCCAGACCGACAGCUAAGGUCCCAAAGUACGUGUUAAGUGGAAAAGGAUGUGGGAUUUCAAAGACAACUAGGAUGUUGGCUUAGAAGCAGCCAUACAUUUAAAGAGUGCGUAAUAGCUCACUAGUCGAGAGGUCCUGCGCCGAAAAUGUCCGGGGCUGAAACACACUGCCGAAGCUCAGGAAUGUACCUAGUACAUUGGUAGAGGAGCAUUGUAUACGGGACGAAGCAGUACCGAUAAGGAGCUGUGGACUGUAUAGAAGAGAGAAUGCCGGAAUGAGUAGCGAGAGGAAGGUGAGAAUCCUUCCGGCCGAAUAUCUAAGGUUUCCAGAGUAAAGCUGAUCUGCUCUGGGUAAGUCGGGGCCUAAGGCCAGGUCGAAAGACGUAACCGAUGGACAACAGGUUGAAAUUCCUGUACCUUAAGUAAACAGAACUGUGGGGACACGUGUGGAGAGCACAAGCCGGAAAUGGAAAAGCCGGUGCAAGCGGGGUAGGAGAUGAAUAGGCAAAUCCGUUCAUCAAUCCGAAGACGUGAUGCGGACCGAAUUAAGAGUAGGGAAGUGUGUGAGCCAUGCGUCAAGAAAAGCCGCUAUUGUUUUACUUAAGCCCGUACCGUAAACCGACACAGGUGGAUGAGGAGAGAAUCCUAAGGCCGACGGGAGAAGCAUUGUUAAGGAACUCGGCAAAAUGACUCCGUAACUUCGGGAGAAGGAGUGCCAGCGAGAGCUGGCCGCAGAGAAUUGGCCCAAGCAACUGUUUAGCAAAAACACAGGUCUAUGCAAAACCGUAAGGUGAAGUAUAUGGGCUGACGCCUGCCCGGUGCUGGAAGGUUAAGAGGAGAGGUUAGCGGUAACGCGAAGCUUUGAAUUUAAGCCCCAGUAAACGGCGGCCGUAACUAUAACGGUCCUAAGGUAGCGAAAUUCCUUGUCGGGUAAGUUCCGACCC
rnacentral:rRNA from 1 species